rnacentral:rRNA from 1 species
CCGCCGCGGUAAAACCAGCUCUUCGAGUGGUCGGGAUAAUUAUUGGGCUUAAAGUGUCCGUAGCCGGUUUAGUAAGUUCCUGGUAAAACCGGGCAGCUUAACUGUCCGUAUGCUAGGAAUACUGCUAUGCUAGAGGGCGGGAGAGGUCUGAGGUACUACAGGGGUAGGGGUGAAAUCUUAUAAUCCUUGUAGGACCACCAGUGGCGAAAGCGUCAGACUGGAACGCGCCUGACGGUGAGGGACGAAAGCCAGGGGAGCGAACCGGAUUAGAUACCCGGGUAGUCCUGGCCGUAAACGAUGCAUACUAGGCAAUGGUGCGGCCAUGAGCCGCAUCAGUACCGUAGGGAAACCGUUAAGUGUGCCGCCUGGGAAGUACGGUCGCAAGGCUAAAACUUAAAGGAAUUGGCGGGGGAGCACCACAAGGGGUGAAGCCUGCGGUUCAAUUGGACUCAACGCCGGGAAACUUACCAGGGGAGACAGCAGAAUGACAGUCAGGUUGACGACCUUACUCGACGAGCUGAGAGGAGGUGCAUGGCCGUCGCCAGUUCGUGCUGUGAGGUAUCCUGUUAAGUCAGGCAACGAACGAGAUCCGCGCCUUUAUUUGCCAUCAAGAAGUCACGACUUCGUUGGGAACACUAAAGGGACCGCCGUCGAUAAGACGGAGGAAGGAGCGGGCAAAGGCAGGUCAGUAUGCCCCGAAACCCCUGGGCUACACGCGGGCUGCAAUGGUGCGAACAAUGGGCUGUAACUCCGAAAGGAGAAACCAAUCCCGAAAUCGCAUCUCAGUGGGGAUUGUCGACUGUAACUCGUUGACAUGAACGUGGAAUCCCUAGUAAUCGCGUGUCACCAUCGCGCGGUGAAUAC